rnacentral:rRNA from 1 species
UACGUAGGGUGCGAGCGUUGUCCGGAAUUAUUGGGCGUAAAGGGCUCGUAGGCGGUUUGUCGCGUCGGGAGUGAAAUCCACUGGCUUAACUGGUGGCUUGCUUUCGAUACGGGCAGACUGGAGGUAUGCAGGGGAGAACGGAAUUCCUGGUGUAGCGGUGAAAUGCGCAGAUAUCAGGAGGAACACCGGUGGCGAAGGCGGGUUGCUGGGCCGUCACUGACGCUGAGGCGCGAAAGCCAGGGGAGCGAACGGG